GGUGUAUGUGUUUAAACUUUGGAGGACGCAGCCUGAAAAUGCAUGACGUUUUCUCCCCCCAUUAAGUCUUGUGCAUCCCACUUGAGGGUUAUAAGCUCUUACGGUGUCUACAUGAGUGUCACGAAUAAACGCUAAUGAAAAACAUCAGUUAAUGAGUAUUGACCAUCAAUCGAGUGGGGUAGCUACAGUAAGAGCUUGGCCAUUCAUCGUUCGAGUCUGCUGCAUACCAAUUGGUGUCCAUGCUGACGGGUCUCUGAGCAGUGAGUGUUCACGGGCAGCAGGUCGAUUUCUGAUGGUUAAAGGAAAAAUAUGCUUCGUUUGUGGAUAACUACGGUUGAAAUUAAGGACUAAACGAUACACUACGGACUUCGAAAGACUGUGUUCUUCCUCAGGUGACAUUUUUCGACGCACCUUUCCAGCUGUAAAGGAAUAUUAAGGUGAAAUAGUUAACCAAACGAAAGACAUUUACGUUUAAACAAGGUUUUUAAAUGUUUAAGGUUUUUGAAAGACCAAAUUAUUUGUUGUGGUUGAAAGUGAUAUUUAUACAAGUUUUAAAGGAAAUAUUUGUAUUUAAAAGGGGUUAUUUAAAACCAAACAUUUGAUAUUAAUGUCCAAGGCUACAUGAUUACAGCCUGGGAAUUUAAUUGA